UUUUAGGAUAUCCUCUAGGGUUUAGUUAUGUGGCCUGCUCUGUUGAAGUGUGGUUAAGUGUUCUCAGUCUUGGUAAAUCGUCCAGCUUGCUAAGGUCUCUGGGAGGCUUCCCACCUGCUGGAGAAAAAAAAGGAGAGAUGGAGCUUUGAGGAAGAAAGGCAGAUGCCUUCUGGCAACUGAAAGGACAGACCAGGCAGAGAGCCCACAUGAGUGUCUGCGAGGAAGCCUGGAGAAGGUUUGGAGUUCUGGUGUCAUGUGGGUGAGAGGAUACUAUACAGACGGAAACGUGUCAUUCUACAAUUGUCCCACAGAAUGUACGAUACCCAGAAUGAACCUCAAUAUAAUCUCCAGACUUUGGGUGACAAUAUGUCAAUGCGGGUUUAUCAACGCUCACAAAGGAGCCAGCCAGUGUCUGGGGAACUUGGCCAGGCUGGACUCUGGCAAGAACACAGCCAUGUCUCCUCUGCCACAGCGAAACCUUUCUAGGCCUGAGUUGAAAAAUAAUAAAAAAUUCCAAGGGAAACAGCUCAAAGGAGUGCUGUAACAAGGAAGUCCUGGUAGAAGGAAUGGAUUGGGCCUCCGGCGGAAAAAAAAAAAAAAUGCACAGCCAGCAGGUUUCCCCUGUCACCAUGUAAACCAGCCAUCAAUCACAGCUCACACCUGCCUUUCUACUCAGCACAAAGGAACCAAUUGAGAGGUGCCCCAGCCCACAUGGAAGGCACAGGAGCCUGGACAAUGCAGGCUGGAAAGGCAGGAAAAUGGACAGACGCAACAGAGAAUUAUAUCAAAUUGUCAAAGCAGCUAACCAGGAAUUCUCAGAAACAUUGGGCCACUGUCUGGUUCUAAGAACAUAGGAACUGUGUGUUCAAAGAACAGUCCUGCAGACCAGGCACAAGAUCCUCAGUUUACAGAUGGGAAAACUGAUGCUCUGGGUGUUCAGAUAAAUUCCCUGAGGUCACAUGGCUGACUGGCAGUAAUAGAUACAAUUCCAAAGUCAAGACUCCAGCCAUGACACCACACUGCCUCUUUUGUUUCUUUGUAUUUUCAGAUGCAUAUCUGGUACUCAAUA